rnacentral:rRNA from 1 species
UUUAGCGUCUGAGGAUGGGUCUGCGGCCGAUUAGGUAGUUGCUGGGGUAACGUCCCAACAAGCCAAUAAUCGGUACGGGUUGUGAGAGCAAGAGCCCGGAGAUGGAUUCUGAGACACGAAUCCAGGCCCUACGGGGCGCAGCAGGCGCGAAAACUUUACACUGCGCGAAAGCGCGAUAAGGGGACCUCGAGUGCGUGCGCAAUGCGUACGCUUUUCAGAUGCCUAAAAAGCAUGUGGAAUAAGGGCCGGGCAAGACCGGUGCCAGCCGCCGCGGUAACACCGGCGGCUCAAGUGGUGGCCGCUAUUAUUGGGCUUAAAGGGUCCGUAGCCGGACCAGUUAGUCCCUUGGGAAAUCUUACGGCUUAACCGUAAGGCUGCCAAUGGAUACUGCUGGUCUUGGGACCGGGAGAGGUAAGAGGUACUUCAGGGGUAGGAGUGAAAUCCUGUAAUCCUUGAGGGACCGCCAGUGGCGAAGGCGUCUUACUAGAACGGGUCCGACGGUGAGGGACGAAAGCUAGGGGCACGAACCGGAUUAGAUACCCGGGUAGUCCUAGCCGUAAACGAUGCGAGCUAGGUGUCACGUGGAUUGCGAAUCCAUGUGGUGCCGAAGGGAAACCGUGAAGCUCGCCGCCUGGGAAGUACGGCCGCAAGGCUGAAACUUAAAGG